CCGAGUUAGGGUCCUCACGGGCUCGACCUCCAACCCUUUGUCUACCAUACCUCAUGUUGCUUCGGCGGGUCCGUCUCACGACCGCCGGAGGGGGCAACCCCUCUGGCCAGCACCCGUCGAUGGCCCUUCAUUAAAUUCUUGUUAAAAACAUGUCUGAACAGUUAUAUUUAAUAACUAA
rnacentral:misc_RNA from 1 species